GGCCCUACGGGGUGCAGCAGGCGCGAAAACUUUACAAUGCUGGGAACAGCGAUAAGGGAACCUCGAGUGCCAGGUUACAAAUCUGGCUGUCGUGAUGCCUAAAAAGCAUUAUAUAGCAAGGGCCGGGCAAGACCGGUGCCAGCCGCCGCGGUAACACCGGCGGCUCGAGUGGUAACCGUUAUUAUUGGGUCUAAAGGGUCUGUAGCCGGCCGGACAAGUCUCUUGGGAAAUCUGGCAGCUCAACUGUCAGGCUUUCAGGGGAUACUGUCUGGCUCGAGGCCGGGAGAGGUGAGAGGUACUUCAGGGGUAGGGGUGAAAUCUUGUAAUCCUUGAAGGACCACCAGUGGCGAAGGCGUCUCACCAGAACGGACCUGACGGCAAGGGACGAAAGCUAGGGGCACGAACCGGAUUAGAUACCCGGGUAGUCCUAGCCGUAAACGAUACUCGCUAGGUGUCGGCCACGGUGCGACCGUUGUCGGUGCCGUAGGGAAGCCGUGAAGCGAGCCACCUGGGAAGUACGGCCGCAAGGCUGAAACUUAAAGGAAUUGGCGGGGGAGCACCACAACGGGUGGAGCUUGCGGUUUAAUUGGAUUCAACGCCGGAAAUCUUA
rnacentral:rRNA from 1 species